rnacentral:lncRNA from 10 species
UCAAUUACCUGAUCUAGCAUUUGCUCCUGAUGACUUAGUGCAGAAAAGCUCUGUAACUCAGUUUCCCCAACUGUAAAAUGGGGAAUGGCACCUUUACUGGGCUGCCAUGAGGGUAAAGGAGGUAACAUAUAUUUAUGAAGCAUUCAGAUUAUCAUCAUCUUGCUGUUUCCAAUGGGUACGCUUUCUACAUUCUCUUUCUUAAAGACCUUUAAAUCCUCGGUAUUCUCUCCACCACCACCGAGAGCAGUGUCCUUGUAGUUUAAAUUCUCAAAGACUUCAUGGAUUCAACAAGCAUGACAUUAACUAAGGGACAGUUUUCUUUCAGUGGAUUGGAACCUAAAAUGGCUUUUUUAUUGUUAUUAUUUUUCAGAGAAUUAUAAUGUGUUUCAACAAAGGCAGCCGUGGCUUUGAUAAUGUCCUCAUGGAUAUGAGACCAUAUUCAGAGCUUUCGGGCCAGAUUUCAAGAGGAAUCGCCUGGCCGAGCCUUUUAAUGGCAUCCACAUCUACCCAUUCAUGUGUAAGCUCCUGGGAGUCACCCCCAAACCCACAACAGCUCCCUGGCAGUCACCCAGGAAAUGCUCGUGAACUCCUAUGUCCAGCAGCCAGGCAGAGAGCUGAUCAAAACAGCAAAAGCAAAGCAGUGCCCCUGGCCCAGUUCUGAAGCCAACCUUCCUUAACCACGCAGACCCAUCCCUGGUUAGGACUUGCUGUGGAUUCUCAGGUGACUCCAUCUCAGGAUACAGGGACUGAGAGGGUAUAUGCAAUAUCUCAGACCCAGAAACCGUUGAUUCUGUCUAAAAGCACAGCAAUAACCACAUCCCACCCUCUUGAUUUAAAUGAAAGUGUUUGGGAGAAUAAAAGAUGAACCUUUUUUUUCUUUGUCAGAUCUUGCGCUCAUUUGGUUCUGGUGGGGAACAACAGCUAUGAGAGAACAAGUGUAUUCAAUUAGAAUUAAUUCCCCU